UACGUAGGGUGCAAGCGUUGUCCGGAAUUAUUGGGCGUAAAGAGCUCGUAGGCGGUUUGUCGCGUCGUUCGUGAAAACUUGGGGCUUAACUCCAAGCGUGCGGGCGAUACGGGCAGACUUGAGUACUACAGGGGAGACUGGAAUUCCUGGUGUAGCGGUGAAAUGCGCAGAUAUCAGGAGGAACACCGGUGGCGAAGGCGGGUCUCUGGGUAGUAACUGACGCUGAGGAACGAAAGCGUGGGUAGCGAACAGG
rnacentral:rRNA from 1 species